AAUGGGAUAAGCUAAUUAAGCUAUUGGGCUCAUGACCCAAAAAUGGUCCACCCUCCUAUUA
rnacentral:tRNA from 1 species